rnacentral:rRNA from 1 species
UACGGAGGGUGCAAGCGUUGCUCGGAAUCAUUGGGCGUAAAGCGCACGUAGGCGGCCUGAUAAGUCGGGUGUGAAAGCCCUGGGCUCAACCCAGGAAGUGCACUCGAAACUGUCAGGCUUGAAUAUGGAAGAGGGUCGCGGAAUUCCCGGUGUAGAGGUGAAAUUCGUAGAUAUUCGGAGGAACACCAGUGGCGAAGGCGGCUCACUGGUCCGGUACUGACGCUGAGGUGCGAAAGCGUGGGGAGCAAACAGG